UACGUAGGUGGCAAGCGUUGUCCGGAUUUAUUGGGCGUAAAGGGCGCGCAGGCGGUUCAUCAAGUCCGAGGUGAAAUCUCCCGGCCUAACUGGGAGGGGUCUUCGGAUACUGGCGGACUUGAGGAGAGCAGAGGUGAGCGGAAUUCUCGGUGUAGUGGUGAAAUGCGUAGAUAUCGAGAGGAACACCAGCGGCGAAGGCGGCUCACUGGGCUCCACCUGACGCUGAGGCGCGAAAGCGUGGGGAGCAAACCGG
rnacentral:rRNA from 1 species